AGCGAACGCUGGCGGCAGGCUUAACACAUGCAAGUCGAACGCCCCGCAAGGGGAGUGGCAGACGGGUGAGUAACACGUGGGAACGUACCCUUUGGUUCGGAAUAACUUGGGGAAACUCAAGCUAAUACCGGAUAAGCCCUUAUGGGGAAAGGUUUACUGCCGAAGGAUCGGCCCGCGUCUGAUUAGCUAGUUGGUGAGGUAAUGGCUCACCAAGGCGACGAUCAGUAGCUGGUCUGAGAGGAUGGUCAGCCACACUGGGACUGAGACACGGCCCAGACUCCUACGGGAGGCAGCAGUGGAGAAUAUUGGACAAUGGGGGCAACCCUGAUCCAGCCAUGCCGCGUGAGUGAUGAAGGCCUUAGGGUUGUAAAGCUCUUUUACCCGGGACGAUAAUGACUGUACCGGGAGAAUAAGCCCCGGCUAACUUCGUGCCAGCCGCCGCUGUAA
rnacentral:rRNA from 1 species